rnacentral:rRNA from 1 species
UGGGGAAUUUUGGACAAUGGGCGAAAGCCUGAUCCAGCAAUGCCGCGUGUGUGAAGAAGGCCUUCGGGUUGUAAAGCACUUUUGUCCGGAAAGAAAACGCCGUGGUUAAUACCCGUGGCGGAUGACGGUACCGGAAGAAUAAGCACCGGCUAACUACGUGCCAGCAGCCGCGGUAAUACGUAGGGUGCAAGCGUUAAUCGGAAUUACUGGGCGUAAAGCGUGCGCAGGCGGUCCGCUAAGACAGAUGUGAAAUCCCCGGGCUUAACCUGGGAACUGCAUUUGUGACUGGCGGGCUAGAGUAUGGCAGAGGGGGGUAGAAUUCCACGUGUAGCAGUGAAAUGCGUGGAGAUGUGGAGGAAUACCGAUGGCGAAGGCAGCCCCCUGGGCCAAUACUGACGCUCAUGCACGAAAGCGUGGGGAGCAAACAGG